rnacentral:tRNA from 1 species
UUCCGGAUUAGCUCAGCGGUAGAGCAAUGGACUGUUAAUCCAUUGGUCGUUGGUUCGAAUCCAACAUCCGGAGA